rnacentral:tRNA from 1 species
ACUCGGCUGGCUCGGUUGGUGGAGCACGUGACUCCUGAUCUUGCGGUUGUGAGUUCAAGCCCCACGAUGGGUG